AUGGUCUCGGCGUUACAGGGUGAAACGGUGAAAGCAGUCUGUGUGCAGAACAUCGAAGAAAUGGAUGGGUUCGCUAUAACUCUGAGAAGACAUGGCAGCUCUGCUGAGCUGUGUUACACACAGCUUGGAAAUUUCACCAUUUGGAGCAGAAAUUGCACAGAGCGUAUAAACCUAGAAUACGAUAAGCCAACAAAAGGGUUUUAUGUUGUUAUGGAGAGAGUCUCUGUCAAAGAUUCUGGUGUUUACAGCUGCACCUUGGACAAGACACUUCCCCCUCCUGUGAGAACGCAAAGCCAGUCUAACAUUUCCCUCACAGUGUCAGCUCUUCCAGUGGUUGAGGUUUCGUUGGCCUCUUCUUCACCCAUUGACAAUGAGACCAGGUUAACUUGCAGUGCUUGGGACUUCUAUCCUGGGGACAUCCAGCUCUCCUGGAGUAAGGGCAGCCAGUUGCUCACUAACUCAACAAGGAAUGACUCUCUGUUCCACAAUAGCAAUGGGUCUUAUUCCUAUAUAAGUAACCUUGUUGUUUCCAAACAUGACUGGAAUGAAUUUGCUCAGUUUUCCUGCCAAGUGAAUCACUCUGCACUGAAAAUGCCUGUUGUGAAAAACCUCACCCUGACCCAGUCUGAGAAAGGUAAAUGGGUACUGAGCAUUUUCAAGUUGUUUAGUAGCACUAGCCAUUCAAGAUGUUCAUAUGUGUUUGUGUUAGGAAACAUGUAUUAG